GGUAUUUAGCUCAGUUGGUAGAGUGCUUGCCUUGCAUGCACAAGGCCCUGGGUUCAAUCCCCAGCACCG
rnacentral:tRNA from 1 species